CGCGCUUUGGAAUGGUCUUGGAUGCAUUUGCUACGUCAGCUUGUUGCCGUCAAACAUGGCUAGACUCGGCAGCUUCACGUAACUGCCUUGAUCGGGAGACAAGUUAACCAACGCUUACUGUUCACUUUCUAUUGCUGCGUUAUCGCGCUCUUGCAUUUUUAGUCACUUCAUUGAUACUGCAUUAGCUUCAAGCUUUAGAUACCUUCGUGUCGGGCUCCACUGCUUGGUAAAAUUAACCGGUCGCUAUUUCCUCCGUGACAAACGGCUGCAUCUGCAUAUGCGGCUCGAUAAAUGUUGUCCUCGAUUUGACUAAGGCUCGUGGUUACAGAAUCUGUCUUCUCCGUCAUUCUAUUAAGGCGAAAGCCUUCAAUGGCUCAUACUCGCGACGUCCGUCCGUCUGUCCGUCCGUGCCCUGGUACCGUGGCAGCUGUGGCCUCUCCCCCUCAUUCUCUCAACAAUCGCGUGAUGGCACAGCGGCGCGCGUGGCAACGCUCCUUCGUCAGACGUCUGGUUGCAGCAGUCGAGUUAGUCGGAUGGCUCCCAAGCGCCCCGGUGAUUCCACGGCAAGCGGUUCGGAGAAGCGCCCCAAGCAUGUGGAUUCCCCCGAUACCAAACGCCAGAAGAAUGAGAGAAUGCGCAUGCGGCGGGCUAACAUGUCACCGGGCCCCAAGGUCAGGGAAGCGGAACGAAAGCCGUAGCAGUGGCUGUCGUCGCAACCGGGUCCCAGCACAGACAACACACCCAGUACAUCCAGUGCCAACAACGCUCCUCGACAGCACUCAGCACCGACUCGGGAUACCGUACACGGCAGCCACAAACUACUCGCAGAAGCAUUUCGUGCAGAACCCGUUUGGAGCUGUGUUCAGUGUGCGAUUGCUUCUGGUUCGCUAACGAUCUCUGCAAGGCCCUGCGACAGAGCCAUGGCAUUCUCACGGAGCAUUUCCCAAACAGAAAACGGCGCGUUCAAGGUGUGCCGAACCUGCCGCACCUCGCUCAAUGAAGUGAAGAUCCCAAACUACUGGACUAGCAGCGGCGCCAUCAACAGGGAUGUACAGCGUGGUUCUGCACACCCACUCUUCUGCCUAUGCUGUAGACGGAGUGAAGCACAGCUCAUAUGGUCUACCGUGUUACAGCGGCAUUUUCUCACCGCUGUGGUCCUGCUAGCAGACAGAACAUUCCUCCCCACCCUGCACUACUACUGGUUCUGCACUCGUGUUUUGGAUUGCGGCCCGCGAAGAUGCCCAGUUUGCUCCUGCACAUCUCUCCGGUCUACGCUCCAGAAGAGAUUACUUCGAGCACGAGCACCACCCUUUCCAUGAGUGACUGUGUCAUCACCUCUACAUCCUGUCGCCGAUGACGUCCUGCUGGAAUACUCUCUUCCUCAACCUCUAGUAUUGCUGGUUCUGAGCUGCUGUUUCCGAGUGCGGCCCACGACACCUAGCCCCCUCCU
rnacentral:lncRNA from 1 species